CCUACGGGGUGCAGCAGUGGGGAAUAUUGCACAAUGGGGGAAACCCUGAUGCAGCGAUGCCGCGUGAGUGAAGAAGUAUCUCGGUACGUAAAGCUCUUUCAGCAGGGAAGAAAAUGACGGUAUCUGACCAUUAAGCCCCGGCUAACUACGUGCAAGCAGCCGCGGUAAGACGUAGGAGGCAAGCGUGAUGCGGAUUUACUGGGUGUAAAGGGACCGUGGACGGCAGCACAAGUCUGGAGUGAAAUCCCGGGGCUUAACCCCGGAACUGCUUUGGAUACUGUGCGGCUGGAGUGCAGGAGGGGUAAGCAGAAUUCCUGGUGUAGCGGUGAAAUGCGUAGAUAUUAGGAGGAACACCGGUGGCGAAGGCGGCUUACUGGACUGUAACUGACGUUGAGGCUCGAAAGCGUGGGGAGCAAACAGGAUUAGAUACCCCGGUAGUC
rnacentral:rRNA from 1 species